rnacentral:sRNA from 2 species
AUACAUGGCCCGCUAUCCGAUGAAUGAGGAGUGGUUGGUUAGUCUUGAGCCUCGGCAAGAUGGUCGACCAGCCACCCUCCACUGUAGUCUAUCCGCUGGAUUUAACAGAUGGUGUUGAGCUGGAUGAGCUGGGUAUUUGACUGCGAAUUUUGCCAAGGUCUAACAUGACGGAGGCACCACACUUUACGCUGUACUAGUUCUAGGGAUGAGUGUUACGAGUAUCAUCACAUUGGACAGUGCAUCUCACUAACAGUGUCUGUCAAAUUGCCAAUCCAGCUCGCUAGCUUCAGAGUGAGAUUGGGACAGAUUGACGGUAAACUUCGAUUCCGCCUUUGAAUCAGUUAAAACCCAAUCCGAACGAGCACGACCUGAAAACACCCGAAAAAGCUCAAGCUCGGAAAUGACCAGAGCAGUUCAGACAUGCUGCCGAAUCUUUGAGGGAUCGUGUACGAGAUUCAACAUCGAAGGCGAGAUUGGUUCCAAAUUUCUCUCACCAGGGCGCUCAGCUAAGGACCACAAGGGCAACUAAUAAGGCCUGAUGCAGCAAAUCUAUGGAGUUGAAUUAAUGCCAAUCGGAAGGAAGGUAGUGGUCUUCUGCCUCCGAUGGCUUCUGGAGGCAAACCCGUUCAGGCUCGGUGACCGAAGCCAGCAAGAUAUCACUCCAGUGGUCCGGUGGAGACAACUAAAUGAUUGAAACAAGGGUUUUCUGCGAAAAAUACCGGGAGAGGGUAUUGCUUCUUUGUCCAUAUUCGCAUUUUUACAGUGAUUUUUGCAAGCAGACCCCUCCUGCAUCCUCAGCCCUUCAAAUCUUGAACAUUGCUCGCUUCCCUCUCUAAAAAUCCAAAUCGAACUAUUUGAUGACGCGG